rnacentral:rRNA from 1 species
AGUGAACGCUGGCGGUAGGCUUAACACAUGCAAGUCGAACGGCAGCACAGUAGCAGCUUGCUCUAACGGGUGGCGGAUGGCGGACGGGUGAGGAAUACGUCGGAAUCUACUCUUUCGUAGGGGAUAACGUAGGGAAACUUACGCUAAUACCGCAUACGACCUACGGGGGAAAGCAGGAGAUCUUCGGACCUUGCGCGAGUGAAUGAGCCGAUGUCGGAUUAGCUAGUUGGAGGGGUAAAGGCCCACCAAGGCGGCGAACCGUAGCUGGUGUGAGUGGAUGGUCACCCGCACUGGAGGUGGGACAGGGUCCAUGCUCCUACGGGAGGCAGCAGUGGGGAAUGUUGGGCAGUGGGGGCAAGUCUGAUCCAGCCAUACCGCGUGGGAGAAGGAGGCCCUGGGGUUGUAAAGCCCUUUUGUUGGGAGAGAAAAGCAGCAGCUUAAUACGCCGCUGUUCUGACGGUACCCAAAGAAUAAGCACCGGCUAACUACGUG